rnacentral:tRNA from 1 species
GCCCACAUAGCUCAGUGGUAGAGCACUUCCUUGGUAAGGAAGAGGUCUCCAGUUCAAUCCUGGAUGUGGGCU